UUCUUCUAGUCUGUUCAACUCAAUCGCCAUUCCUUCAGAUUAUAGGAAACCUAAAUCCCUUCAUUUGACGAAGUCUCUGUCGUCCCUCGUCUCAAGUCAAGCGCUCUCUUCUUCGAACUCUCUGCGUUCAAUCUUCUGGAGAUCUAACUCAUCUGCAUUUGUCUUCAAUCAAGUUUUGUGUUUUUCCCCCUUCAAUUUCGCGGCCAUUCCUUCAAUUUCUCCGGUCAGUUCACCAAAACCCUAAUCUCAAAUCCAUUACCGUGAUGAAAGUUGCAAUUGGGAAUGAGCGGUGGUGGGGAGGAGGAAUUCACGGCCCAUGAUUAAGCAAAGCUCAUGUCUUAGUCUAUGGAAUGAAUGGAACAAAUAGAUGAAGUAAAGCUAUAAGUUGUCUAUAUGGUUUGACUGUUUUGUGCUGGUGGUUUUUGGGAUUGUUUGGCUGAUCUGUUUCAAUGCUUGGGGCCUUUCGUCUGCUGUAUUUUUUGGCCUGCAUUUAUCUACGGUUAAGGCAGCUGAUUACAGACCAACAACAAACAAUCAAUUUCAUCCUUGCUCGUCAAAAUAAAAUGAUUGCCGCAAGCUAAACAUGCAAAUAUAGAUAUGGAAUCAAUGAAUUUGAAUGAAGAUAAUCCUUUUUUUUUUUGACGCAAGAUAAUCCUUUUGUUAGUUAUACUACUCAUGGAAGUAAUGCAAAUGAUGGAACAUAUGUUGAUGAGAACUAUUUGACGAUUUUGGAAUGUAGAACAUAAUAAUUAUUUAAAGUAUGAGUAAACACUUAGUUAUUAAAACUUUAACCUUUUGGAUUUAUUGAUAAAUACAAUUUUGAUA